rnacentral:rRNA from 1 species
AUUGAACGCUGGCGGCAGGCCUUACACAUGCAAGUCGAACGGCAGCACGGGAGCAAUCCUGGUGGCGAGUGGCGAACGGGUGAGUAAUAUAUCGGAACGUGCCCGGUCGUGGGGGAUAACGUAGCGAAAGCUACGCUAAUACCGCAUACGAUCUACGGAUGAAAGCGGGGGAUCGCAAGACCUCGCGCGAUUGGAGCGGCCGAUAUCAGAUUAGGUAGUUGGUGAGGUAAAGGCUCACCAAGCCGACGAUCUGUAGCUGGUCUGAGAGGACGACCAGCCACACUGGGACUGAGACACGGCCCAGACUCCUACGGGAGGCAGCAGUGGGGAAUUUUGGACAAUGGGCGCAAGCCUGAUCCAGCAAUGCCGCGUGCAGGAUGAAGGCCUUCGGGUUGUAAACUGCUUUUGUACGGAACGAAACGGUGAGCUCUAAUACAGUUUGCUAAUGACGGUACCGUAAGAAUAAGCACCGGCUAACUACGUG